ACCGGAGCGCAGCAUUCCUCCCAGGAGCCCAUGGGGUAAGCCACAGCACAGAGCUUCGGAACCAGCGUUCGCCGAGCUGGCGGGGCCGGGCCGCGCUGGCCGUGGGCAGGAAGGAGGCAGAACGGGGUUUCCGGUCACUGAAGUUUACCCGCCUUGCAGGCGAGGGAUAAACCUACUAGGAAAUGACCGCAUCGGAGUUCCGAGUGGCCAUUAAACGGAGCUCAGGAAACGCGUCUUCCCAGCACGUUUCCCGGGAAAUGUCCAUCAGCGGGCGGAAGCCAGACGCUCCCAGGGCGCGAGCGCCCACCGCCGGCCAAUCUGGCAGGACACGCACUGUCCCUCCCAGGCGGGGACGCAAGAUGGCCCAUCGCUGCUCAGUUCUCCGCGGGCCAAGAACAACUUCGCUCCCACCCUGAGGAUGCGGGGCCCACCCCGCCAGGAUCGCCCGAAGCCAGGAGCUGUGGCCAAAGAAAACAGCUGGCUAUGAACCAGGAAGUGGGCCCUCACCAGACAGCAAAUCUGCUGGCGCCUUGCUCUUGGACUUCCCAGCCUCUAGAACUAGGUGUGGUUUUCAAAUUGUGUUUCAUGGAGGCCACUGGUUCCGCGGUUACUCAGAGCUGCUGCCAGAGCUGGUGUAGAGGUGGGGGAGAUCCAGGAAGGCUGAGUGGGUGCAUGGAUGCCUGUUCCUCCUCUUCCUACCAACCCAUCUCGGGAUUUGGAGAGACUGACAGAGCAAAAUGCAGUGACCAUCCUGUGCUGAUGGUCAGCACACACUCUGAGAACCUGACGAACAGCUUGACCCGACAGCCUUUGACGCCCAUAGUGAGUGGCUCUGGCCACAGCUCUCAGGCAUGAGAUGUGGGUUCUUCCAAAAGCAAACAACCUUCGACCCAUGGUCUUCAUUUGGGCCCAUCAGGUCAACAGUUGUUUCACAGGACAUCGGCAAUUGUCUUUCUCUGUGUGUCAGGAGCCUCUUGAAACAUUAUACGAGGAUAAUUAAGUGGUGAAUAAGGGUCAAUGCGGACAAAUAAAUCAAACUGAUAGUUUGAACACAGACUGAUUGAGCAAAAACAAGGACUUCUGCCAUGCCUGUUACUGCAGUGCUUGAUGUUAACUGACUUUGUUAACAUUACAUCCAAAGGCAGCAAGUGGGAAAGCUUUGUGUGGAAUCAAAAGCUGAGCAAAGAGACAUGGGAUUUAAUUGUUCAGCUUUAUUUUUGAAAUAAAGACAUGCAGCGCAUCCAUUUAGUUGACUUUAAUGGAGCACAAAACCAAACCCAUUCUUUAGCAUGCUAAUUGAGUUAGAAGAUGCUUUCCUCUUGGAUAACAGAGACGUAAGAAAUACCAAUGGAAUCGUCAGACUUUUAGAGCAAAAGUUCAGAGUUAAAAUAUGGUGAGAAGUUAGGUAUUUGUAUCUGUUAAGGUAGGUUAAAUAUACCAGUAAAUGUAAUACAAUUUUAUAAUUAUUUUAAAUCUUGUGUUACAAAUCUGGUGGUACUGUAUAUGUAAAUGAAACAUUUGAUAUCAAAUAUAUUAAUGUAUGGAGGAGAUUUUUGUUAGCAGAAGGGCAGCCUAGAAAUCAAGAAAAGAACAAGAGAGAGGAAGAGAAAGACAGAGAGAAUCCUUAAAAAGGCUUGUAUAUGUCCACAGGAUUGUUCUAAGGGGAAAAAUUAUUAGAAAAAAUGUAAAGAAUAAAUCU